UACGAAGGGGGCUAGCGUUGCUCGGAAUCACUGGGCGUAAAGGGUGCGUAGGCGGGUCUUUAAGUCAGGGGUGAAAUCCUGGAGCUCAACUCCAGAACUGCCUUUGAUACUGAAGAUUUUGAGUGCGGGAGAGGUGAGUGGAACUGCGAGUGUAGAGGUGAAAUUCGUAGAUAUUCGCAAGAACACCAGUGGCGAAGGCGGCUCACUGGCCCGAUACUGACGCUGAGGCACGAAAGCGUGGGGAGCAAACAGG
rnacentral:rRNA from 1 species